UACGUAGGGGGCAAGCGUUGUCCGGAUUUAUUGGGCGUAAAGAGCGUGUAGGCGGCCUGAAAGGUCAGCUGUGAAAACUCGAGGCUCAACCUCGAGACGUCGGUUGAAACCAUCUGGCUAGAGUCCGGAAGAGGAGUGUGGAAUUCCCGGUGUAGCGGUGAAAUGCGCAGAUAUCAGGUGGAACACCAGUGGCGAAGGCGGCUUUCUGGACGGUAACUGACGCUGAGACACGAAAGCGUGGGGAGCAAACAGG
rnacentral:rRNA from 1 species